GCAAGUCGAACGGUAACAUUUCUAGCUUGCUAGAAGAUGACGAGUGGCGGACGGGUGAGUAAUGCUUGGGAACUUGCCUUUGCGAGGGGGAUAACAGUUGGAAACGACUGCUAAUACCGCAUAAUGUCUUCGGACCAAACGGGGCUUAGGCUCCGGCGCAAAAAGAGGCCCAAGUGAGAUUAGCUAGUUGGUAAGGUAACGGCUUACCAAGGCGACGAUCUCUAGCUGUUCUGAGAGGAAGAUCAGCCACACUGGGACUGAGACACGGCCCAGACUCCUACGGGAGGCAGCAGUGGGGAAUAUUGCACAAUGGGGGAAACCCUGAUGCAGCCAUGCCGCGUGUGUGAAGAAGGCCUUCGGGUUGUAAAGCACUUUCAGUUGUGAGGAAAAGUUAGUAGUUAAUACCUGCUAGCCGUGACGUUAACAACAGAAGAAGCACCGGCUAACUCCGUGCCAGCAGCCGCGGUAAUACGGAGGGUGCGAGCGUUAAUCGGAAUUACUGGGCGUAAAGCGCACGCAGGCGGUUUGUUAAGCUAGAUGUGAAAGCCCC
rnacentral:rRNA from 1 species